rnacentral:rRNA from 1 species
GAUGAACGCUGACAGAAUGCUUAACACAUGCAAGUCAACUUGAACUUCGGUUUGGGUGGCGGACGGGUGAGUAACGCGUAAAGAACUUGCCUCACAGAUAGGGACAACAUUUGGAAACGAAUGCUAAUACCUGAUAUUAUGAUUUUAGGGCAUCCUAGGAUUAUGAAAGCUAUAUGCGCUGUGAGAGAGCUUUGCGUCCCAUUAGCUAGUUGGUGGGGUAACGGCUCACCAAGGCGACGAUACAUAGCCGACCUGAGAGGGUGAUCGGCCACACUGGGACUGAGACACGGCCCAGACUCCUACGGGAGGCAGCAGUAGGGAAUCUUCGGCAAUGGACGGAAGUCUGACCGAGCAACGCCGCGUGAGUGAAGAAGGUUUUCGGAUCGUAAAGCUCUGUUGUAAGAGAAGAACGAGUGUGAGAGUGGAAAGUUCACACUGUGACGGUAUCUUACCAGAAAGGGACGGCUAACUACGUGCCAGCAGCCGCGGUAAUACGUAGGUCCCGAGCGUUGUCCGGAUUUAUUGGGCGUAAAGCGAGCGCAGGCGGUUAGAUAAGUCUGAAGUUAAAGGCUGUGGCUUAACCAUAGUACGCUUUGGAAACUGUUUAACUUGAGUGCAAGAGGGGAGAGUGGAAUUCCAUGUGUAGCGGUGAAAUGCGUAGAUAUAUGGAGGAACACCGGUGGCGAAAGCGGCUCUCUGGCUUGUAACUGACGCUGAGGCUCGAAAGCGUGGGGAGCAAACAGG